rnacentral:rRNA from 1 species
UACGGGGGGAGCAAGCGUUGUUCGGAUUUACUGGGCGUAAAGGGCGCGUAGGCGGUCAGCACAAGUCAGUUGUGAAAUCUCCGGGCUUAACUCGGAAAGGUCAACUGAUACUGUGCGACUAGAGUGCGGAAGGGGCAACUGGAAUUCUCGGUGUAGCGGUGAAAUGCGUAGAUAUCGAGAGGAACGCCUGCGGCGAAGGCGGGUUGCUGGGCCGACACUGACGCUGAUGCGCGAAAGCCAGGGGAGCGAACGGG